rnacentral:rRNA from 1 species
AACGAACGCUGGCGGCGUGGAUAAGACAUGCAAGUCGAACGGGAACUUUUUUGGUAGCAAUACCGAAAAAGUUUCAGUGGCGAACGGGUGCGUAACACGUGGGCAAUCUGCCUUAAAGUGGGGGAUAGCUCGGCGAAAGCCGGAUUAAUACCGCAUGUGAUGAGGGGAGACAUCUUCCCAAAAUCAAAGUUGGUGCAAGCUAACGCUUUUUGAGGAGCCCGCGGCCUAUCAGCUAGUUGGUGGGGAACGGCCUACCAAGGCUUUUGACGGGUAGCUGGUCUGAGAGGACGACCAGUCACACUGGAACUGAGACACGGUCCAGACACCUAGGGUGGCAGCAGUCGAGUAAUUUUUCUACAAGUGGGGGAAACCCUGAAGGAGCGACGCGCGUGGAGG